rnacentral:misc_RNA from 1 species
AAUUCUCAACCCCGAUCGGAUUUAUUUUCGCAUUCGGAGGCUUGGAUAGUGGAGCGUGCUGGCCCCCUCUCAUGGGUCGGCUCCUCUCAAAUGCAUUCGCGGAAUCGACUUUGGUCCAUUUCGGUCAUCAGUGUGAUAAAUGUUGCGCUGUUGGCUAGGAUCGAGGUGCCGCAUACAAUGGUCUUCGGACAAUUUUAUAAACAA